rnacentral:rRNA from 1 species
GCUCGUGUCGUGAGAUGUUGGGUUAAGUCCGUAACGAGCGCAACCCUUGUCCUUAGUUACCAGCACGUUAUGGUGGGCACUCUAAGGAGACUGCCGGUGACAAACCGGAGGAAGGUGGGGAUGACGUCAAGUCAUCAUGGCCCUUACGGCCUGGGCUACACACGUGCUACAAUGGUCGGUACAAAGGGUUGCCAAGCCGCGAGGUGGAGCUAAUCCCAUAAAACCGAUCGUAGUCCGGAUCGCAGUCUGCAACUCGACUGCGUGAAGUCGGAAUCGCUAGUAAUCGUGAAUCAGAAUGUCACGGUGAAUACGUUCCCGGGCCUU